CCUACGGGUGACAGCAGUAGGGAAUAUUGCUCAAUGGGGGAAACCCUGAAGCAGCAACGCCGCGUGGAGGAUGAAGGUUUUCUGAUUGUAAACUCCUUUUGUUAGAGAAGAUAAUUACGGUAUCUAACGAAUAAGCACCGGCUAACUCCGUGCCAGCGGCCGCGGUAAUACGGAGGGUGCAAGCGUUACUCGGAAUCACUGGGCGUAAAGGGCGCGUAGGCGGGAUAGCAAGUCAGAUGUGAAAUCCUAUGGCUUAACCAUAGAACUGCAUUUGAAACUGUUAUUCUAGAGUAUGGGAGAGGUAGGUGGAAUUCGGGGGGUAGGGGUAAAAUCCGUAGAGAACAAGCGGAAUACUCAUGGCGAAGGCAAC
rnacentral:rRNA from 1 species